CCUACGGGAGGCAGCAGUGGGGAAUAUUGCACAAUGGGCGCAAGCCUGAUGCAGCGACGCCGCGUGAGGGAUGAAGGCCUUCGGGUUGUAAACCUCUUUCAGUAGGGAAGAAGCGUAAGUGACGGUACCUGCAGAUGAAGCGCCGGCUAACUACGUGCCAGCAGCCGCGGUAAUACGUAGGGCGCAAGCGUUAUCCGGAAUUAUUGGGCGUAAAGAGCUCGUAGGCGGUUUGUCGCGUCUGCCGUGAAAGUCCGGGGCUUAACUCCGGAUCUGCGGUGGGUACGGGCAGACUUGAGUGAUGUAGGGGAGACUGGAAUUCCUGGUGUAGCGGUGAAAUGCGCAGAUAUCAGGAGGAACACCGAUGGCGAAGGCAGGUCUCUGGGCAUUAACUGACGCUGAGGAGCGAAAGCAUGGGGAGCGAACAGGAUUARAUACCCUGGUAGUCCAUGCCGUAAACGUUGGGCACUAGGUGUGGGGGACAUUCCACGUUUUCCGCGCCGUAKCUAACGCAUUAAGUGCCCCGCCUGGGGAGUACGGCCGCAAGGCUAAAACUCAAAUGAAUUGACGGGG
rnacentral:rRNA from 1 species